rnacentral:rRNA from 1 species
GCUUAACACAUGCAAGUCGAACGGAAAGGCCCUGCUUUUGUGGGGUGCUCGAGUGGCGAACGGGUGAGUAACACGUGAGUAACCUGCCCUUGACUUUGGGAUAACUUCAGGAAACUGGGGCUAAUACCGGAUAGGAGCUCCUGCUGCAUGGUGGGGGUUGGAAAGUUUCGGCGGUUGGGGAUGGACUCGCGGCUUAUCAGCUUGUUGGUGGGGUAGUGGCUUACCAAGGCUUUGACGGGUAGCCGGCCUGAGAGGGUGACCGGCCACAUUGGGACUGAGAUACGGCCCAGACUCCUACGGGAGGCAGCAGUGGGGAAUAUUGCACAAUGGGCGGAAGCCUGAUGCAGCAACGCCGCGUGCGGGAUGACGGCCUUCGGGUUGUAAACCGCUUUCGCCUGUGACGAGGCGUGAGUGACGGUAAUGGGUAAAGAAGCACCGGCUAACUACGUGCCAGCAGCCGCGGUGAUACGUAGGGUGCGAGCGUUGUCCGGAUUUAUUGGGCGUAAAGGGCUCGUAGGUGGUUGAUCGCGUCGGAAGUGUAAUCUUGGGGCUUAACCCUGAGCGUGCUUUCGAUACGGGUUGACUUGAGGAAGGUAGGGGAGAAUGGAAUUCCUGGUGGAGCGGUGGAAUGCGCAGAUAUCAGGAGGAACACCAGUGGCGAAGGCGGUUCUCUGGGCCUUUCCUGACGCUGAGGAGCGAAAGCGUGGGGAGCGAACAGGCUUAGAUACCCUGGUAGUCCACGCUGUAAACGGUGGGUACUAGGUGUGGGGUCCAUUCCACGGGUUCCGUGCCGUAGCUAACGCUUUAAGUACCCCGCCUGGGGAGUACGGCCGCAAGGCUAAAACUCAAAGGAAUUGACGGGGCCCCGCACAAGCGGCGGAGCAUGCGGAUUAAUUCGAUGCAACGCGUAGAACCUUACCUGGGUUUGACAUGGAUCGGGAGUGCUCAGAGAUGGGUGUGCCUCUUUUGGGGUCGGUUCACAGGUGGUGCAUGGCUGUCGUCAGCUCAUGUCGUGAGAUGUUGGGUUAAGUCCCGCAACGAGCGCAACCCUUGUUCACUGUUGCCAGCACGUUAUGGUGGGGACUCAGUGGAGACCGCCGGGGUCAACUCGGAGGAAGGUGGGGAUGACGUCAAGUCAUCAUGCCCCUUAUGUCCAGGGCUUCACGCAUGCUACAAUGGCUGGUACAGAGAGUGGCGAGCCUGUGAGGGUGAGCGAAUCUCGGAAAGCCGGUCUCAGUUCGGAUUGGGGUCUGCAACUCGACCUCAUGAAGUCGGAGUCGCUAGUAAUCGCAGAUCAGCAACGCUGCGGUGAAUACGUUCCCGGGGCUUGUACACACCGCCCGUCAAGUCACGAAAGUUGGUAACACCCGAAGCCGGUGGCCUAACCGUUGUGGGGGAGCCGUCGAAGGUGGGACUGGUGAUUAGGACUAAGUCAUAACA